rnacentral:rRNA from 1 species
GACGAACGCUGGCGGCGUGCUUAACACAUGCAAGUCGGGCGGUAAGGCCCUUUUGGGGGUACGACGAGCGGCGAACGGGUGGAGUAACACGUGGGUGGACCUGCCCUCCAGCUCUGGGAGUAAGCCUGGGAAACGUAGGGUCGUAAUAACCGGAUAUGCACUGCUUAUCGCAUGGUGGGUGGUGGAAAGUCCUGUUCUGUAAUGGA